rnacentral:tRNA from 1 species
ACUAACGUAGUUUAUAAAAAACACUUGAUUUCGACUCAAAAAAACUGAACCACUCAGCGAUAGU